ACUCCUACGGGAGGCAGCAGUGGGGAAUUUUGGAGAAUGGGCGAAAGCCUGAUCCAGCCAUGCCGCGUGAGUGAAGAAGGCCUUCGGGUUGUAAAGCUCAUUUAGUCGGAAAGAAAGAGUUGCAAUGAAUAAUUGAGAUUUAUGAGGGUACCGACAGAAAAAGCACCGGCUAACUACGUGCCAGCAGCCGCGGUAAU
rnacentral:rRNA from 1 species